rnacentral:rRNA from 1 species
UGCAGAAUCCCGUGAACCAUCGAGUCUUUGAACGCAAGUUGCGCCCUAAGCCAUUCGGCCGAGGGCACGUCUGCCUGGGCGUCAAUCAUCAAUUCGUCCCCCAACCCCCCGCUCCCCCACAAAAGGAGUGCGGAGCUUGGGUACGGAACUUGGCCUCCCGUGCUCUUGCAGCGCGGCUGGCCCAAAUGCGAGCAUCGGACUGAUGAUCUCCGAGGCACGCGGUGGUUGUUAACUCUUACCUCGUGACGUUGCCCGGAGCGUCUCCCAAACGGAGCUCAACGACCCUAGAUCACUAUCGAUGCGACCCCAGGUCAGGCGGGGCCACCCGCUGAAUUUAAGCAUAUCAAUAAGCGGAGGAAAAGAAACUAACAAGGAUUCCCCUAGUAACGGCGAGCGAACCGGGAAAUGCCCACCAUGAAAAUCGAGCCCCUUCGG